rnacentral:rRNA from 1 species
UACGGGGGGGGCAAGCGUUGUUCGGAAUUACUGGGCGUAAAGGGCUCGUAGGCGGCCAACUAAGUCCGACGUGAAAUCCCCAGGCUUAACCUGGGAACUGCGUCGGAUACUGGAUGGCUUGAAUCCGGGAGAGGGAUGCGGAAUUCCAGGUGUAGCGGUGAAAUGCGUAGAUAUCUGGAGGAACACCGGUGGCGAAGGCGGCAUUCUGGACCGACAUUGACGCUGAGGAGCGAAAGCCAGGGGAGCAAACGGG